CCGCAGCCGACUCGCGUCCCUUCCAGCCGGCUCGUAACUGCCCACCGGGUCCCUCUGAGCAUGACCCAUGCCCACGAAGAGAGCCAGGGGGAAUAAACAUGAAGGAUCUGGAAUAAGGUCACUCAAGGAGACAGCGUGUGUCCAAGAAGUGAAUGAAAUCCAGUCCUCCAGCCUGCGGCUCAGAUCCAUUCCCUAGACUCCCAUCCAGCCCCUCACUCCCUCGGGAUUCUAUGAGCUUCUGAUCGAUGCAGUUUGAUGAGGCCAAAACCUGCUCAACAAUCUUCAAUGGCUCCCCACUACCUCACAAACCAAGCCCUGCACCCAAGCUGGUUUCUUACUGGCCCCGCACCACAGCCGACUGGACCAGGGAUGAACACGUGACCCGGGGCAGCCUUUACAUUGGCUGGUCAGUGACCUAAGACUUCUGUGCCUAAGACUUCUGUGGUCUGAGGUGAAUGCAUACGUCAUUGGUUACUGGACAAAUAAGAUCCUCUCUUGAAAAUCUGAGCUAAGCCCCUUGACUUUGAAAGCCAAGCCCUGGGAUUAAAACAACAGAAGCUGGGACCUAUUUGGCUGUCUGGGCCAGGGAAGCCAAGAGGGGCCGUACAUGUCAGCAGUGGGGCCUCAGAGCCUGGGAACAUCUCUGACAGGCUUAUCACAACCCUGAAGUAUGUCUAGGAGAAGGUGACCUGAAUGAAGAUAAAAAAAUAACCCAGGAGGAAUAGUUGAGAUACUGGAGUAGAGAAAUCCUGUUAGAGGAGAGUCUGGCCAUCUUCAGCCGUUGCAGGAUUAUCAGUCCACAUCACUCCCUCUGGGCGUGCUGGAAGUUAAGAAAAGGCCAGAUGGAGAAACCGAGGCACAGGGUAAUUAAGAAUUUUAACCAAGGGGCUUAUCAUCUGUUGGGGAGGCAAGACUACAGGUUCAUAUCCCCAUGAGAGAAGAGAACAGAAUCUGAAAUGUUCCCCGCCAUCCCAAGUAGCCCACUUCUUAGUUUCCCGUCACCACCUGCCUUAGUUUCCACAGGUUUCCAGCUGUCACCAUGGUGACCGCUCAAAGGGCAGCCCUCACGGUUCUAGGGGUAGACGUGUUCAUUUUCCCAAAGGUCAGCCAAGGC